UACGUAGGGGGCUAGCGUUGUCCGGAAUCAUUGGGCGUAAAGCGCGUGUAGGCGGUCCGGUAAGUCCGCUGUGAAAGUCGGGGGCUCAACCCUCGAAUGCCGGUGGAUACUGUCAGACUAGAGUACGGAAGAGGCGAGUGGAAUUCCUGGUGUAGCGGUGAAAUGCGCAGAUAUCAGGAGGAACACCCAUUGCGAAGGCAGCUCGCUGGGACGUUACUGACGCUGAGACGCGAAAGCGUGGGGAGCAAACAGG
rnacentral:rRNA from 1 species